rnacentral:rRNA from 1 species
UACGUAGGGGGCAAGCGUUGUCCGGAAUCAUUGGGCGUAAAGAGCGUGUAGGCGGCCCGAUAAGUCCGCUGUGAAAGUCCAGGGCUCAACCCUGGAAUGCCGGUGGAUACUGUCGGGCUCGAGUUCGGAAGAGGUGAGUGGAAUUCCUGGUGUAGCGGUGAAAUGCGCAGAUAUCAGGAGGAACACCGGUGGCGAAGGCGGAUCUCUGGGCCUUACCUGACGCUCAGGUGCGAAAGCUAGGGGAGCGAACAGG